CAGUAUGCCAGGCCUUCUUGUCCCUUGCUAUUUCCCAGAGUUUGCCCAAGAUAUACUGAGGGCCUAGCAAAAUGUCUGGCAAAAAUAAGGUGCUCAAAGAAUAUCAAAUGGACAAAAUGGAGAUGAGAAAAGUAUGGUUAAAAGAAGCCCACUAACUUUUAUAUCCAGAGGAAGGCUGAGAUGAGUUUAAUUCUAUAUCUCCCUUCUUAGGGCUGGAAUUGACACCAAGAGAGGAGGAGAUGAAAACCAAAGGUUGAAUGUUGACUCCUGGGAAAUAAUUCAGUAGUCUUGUGGACCCAAGGCUAAAUAGCAUUUGCCAAGAAUAAACAGUCUUGGGAGUGGCCAAGGGGACCUAGGUCAGCUCUCUCGUUUCUACUCCUGUUCUCAAAGUCCUGCCUCAUGGACAUACACGCCAUGACCUCAUUCCUAAGCAACUCCAUACAGUCCACGACCAUCACCCGUUGUUUCCACUUCCGAUUCGAAUAGACCACUGCAAUUUCCACUGUCACCUGGCUUGCACCACUAUUGUUCCGCAACUGUGAACACUGAGAAAUCUGCUGCUCACUGAGUGUGCACAUAUGAGUCAGAUGUACACUGACACGAGUCAGUUUAUCUUGUGGAUUAUAAACUCUUAGAACUAGGGAUCUAUAGUCUCCUUAAUGUCAUCUUUGCUUAGUUACUUUAGUUUGUUUAGGUCAAGGUUGAGGGUUUAACCGCCAAAUGGGUUAUUUAACUUUGCUUUGUUUCACUGCCUCAAACUACCUUCAAUUCAGGCAUUCUCAGAAAACUGAGAAGUGUUAAACAGAGACAGAAUAAUAUAGGGGAAAAAAAUGAACAUUUGAAUAAAAAUUUCCAACUUCACUCUUGCAAACACCAUAUGGUAAAAAGAACAGCAGUGAAAUUCCAAAGCACCUGAAAAAUGAGUUGAGAAAACAAAAAGGUUUAUAUAAUCUAAAAUUCCCGACUGCAGAAAUAUGUAAAUAUAUAUUUAAACUUGAAAUAUAUGGCCAUUCUUAUUAAAUGUAAAGUCAAAGAAAUUUAUGUUAAAGUAAAAUGUAGUCUUCUCAUUCUACUAAUCAUAAACACAGAGGUUUAGAGCUAGGGAGGACCUUGUAGGCCACCCUCUUCAUUCUGUAGGUAAAUUAAGAAAAGUCCAGAGAAGGGUUGCUGACAUACUCAGCAUCAGAUGGCAGUAUUAGAAGGCAGAGUGUGGGAGCAGGAAGACCACAGGCUUUAGAGACAGACAAGUCUGCACAGGACUUCCACCCCUUGGUUAAGUGAAUUGGGAAGCUUUACUCUUUGAAAUGUCAGUGUCCUCAUGUGUGAAUUAGAGAUAUCAGCUUUAAUAUGUUGAAGAAGUACUGUAAAGACUGAAUAUGACAGAUAAUAAAUGAGAAGUGCCUAGUACAGAAUUUCUAGAUUAAGAUGGCAGAAUAAAGUCAGAUUAUAGAAUUUUUCCCUAAAGCUUAAUGAAAUUUAAAAUCA
rnacentral:lncRNA from 1 species